CUCGUGGCGUUUCAGUCAUUGGAUUGCACGUAUGGUGUUAGUGAUCUAUCGAAAUGUCUUUGACCGAUCUUGACUUGAUCAGUAUCAUUCAAUUCUUUCUCGCGUGAAAGUUAGAAAAAUCACUAGAUAUAUAUACAUUAUUCAAUGUAUCAAACUGUACACAAAAUUGUUAAACAAUAAAUAGUUAUAAUAAAUUAUAGUAUAUUUAUUGUGUGAAUGUAAGAAAUAAAAUGUGUUAGGAAAAUAUAUAAUGUCAUUAAGUUUUAUCGAAGAAUUUAAACUGUAACUUUAGUGGCAAACAGAAGGAUCGAAACUGUUGGUGGAAGCAGAAACAGGUCAUGCGAAUGACGUAAGUUAACGGAUCUCCGUAUGGAUAAAUAAUUUAUAGAAAAGAACAAAUGAAGUGAAUAAAAAAAAAGAAAAAAUUUUUGUUAUAUUUGAAAGAAAACUUGUUAUAGUAUGUUAUUGUACAUGUGUUAUCACGUAUGUUGUGUAGUAUUUUAAAAAAAAAUAUUAAAAAGAAAUUAUGUU